rnacentral:lncRNA from 1 species
CUGUCGUCGUCGUCGCCCCCCUCAGCCUCGGUUCUCUCCGAUCCUCCUCUGCACCAUCAUUGUUGCCUGUACAAGAAUGACAGGGCACAGUGACAUGAUCGACAACUCGAGUGUUCUACCUACAGAUUGCAAGAAUCUUCUCUCAAGUAGUGAUUCCUCCUGGUUCAUGCUAAUGCACUUACAAUUAGAUGAGGAAAUGCCACAUUAAUGUCCUAGGAGAGACUCUUCUUUCCGCUUGCAGGUUUCUUGUAAUGCUUGUAUGAUCAUGUUUGAGAAGAUUGGUUCUAAUGGGCUGAAUGUGAAAAUGAUCUCUGCAGGCGCAUGCACCAAAUCGUCAGCGUUCACAGACACGACUAGCAGCUCUCCUGGGAGUCUUCAGAUGAAAAUAUAUGUCAUGGUAACAAUUACAUGCAGUUUGGAGUUCUCCUAAGAGUUUGUUACCUACUUACCUUUAGUGGAGUUCUGUUUCGCUUUUAUAACAGCAGAGUAUACGCAUCAGAUUUAUUUAGAAGCAUAUGCAUCUCAUGUCUAUCUAACCAAGUUCCUAUUCUUUUGAGAAUAUGCCAAGUAGAUUGGAGGAGCUGCCUCAUUUAUCAAAGCAGAUCUUAGUAAAUUUAGGAUAUGUACCAAUAUUUGAAAAGGAUGUGCCCCAAAACACCACAGAGAAAACAAAAAAAAUGGUCUCAAUUCUUGAAGCUAUUGAAGGUCACAAAAGAAAAGAAGAUGAAAAGUUUGGUGCUUAGAUGUCUGAACUUGUGCUAACCAUCACUAGGAAGCAACUUCUAGCCUUAGGUGGCACAAUAAAAACUAGAGGUGGAAUAUUGUUUGAUUUCUUUUGGGGUAAUAUACAACUAAUGUUUCUGCUUUUCAUGUGCAAGCUAAAUGUGCUGAUGUUAUGUGAGGUAAGUUUUCUGACCUUUCUUGAGGUCGUCCAUUUGAAUGCAUCAUUUAAAUCAUUCUCCAAUUGUUCGAGACCAUCGAUAUUCAGCUUGGCAAAAUCUGUUUCGAUAAACCUUUACAAGGAACAAAAAGGUAUUAGCGAUAAUAUACACCAGAUUUCUUAUCACAUAGACACAUCAAUAGUUACGUUAUAACCUUUCAGCAAUCUCCAGUAGUUUGAAAUUGCCUUCUGAACAAGCAAAUCCUUUUUCGUGAUUCUGUGGCAUCAUUAGUAGAUAAUAAGAAAAUGUAAUUUCUAAUAUAUUAGGAAAAAAAUUAUCAUGUUACCUGGAAAAAAAAAAGGCAUACAGUUUUAGAUUCAAAUUCAUCUUUAAAAGAUGUAAAGAUGCAAAAGGAAUGUCUGACAUUUGCCCUUGAGGUGAAUGACCUAGAGAUCACAUUGUUGCUGAGAAGAAUCCUUCGAGUUUAGAUAACCAGUUCAUUCUAUUAAAAAAUUCACAAUCAAAAGGUACCAGAUUCUCUUUUGGAAGGCCUUGAAAGAGAGAGGAUGGAGUGCCUACAGACAUCGGGCUAUUCUUUAAUUCAUUUGAGAGCAUCCAUUUCGGGAAUACAUCUCACAUUUAACCAAGGUUGUGAUUCUCUUUCUUUAGUUUCUUCCAACUCUCAGUUAGAGCAAUUAAUAUAUUUCAAAUGACGAGGGAAAUUAAGUAUCGAAUGAGAAGAAUCCAUAAUCAAAUGCUAUGUUGAAAGCAAGGAUAGAGUCAGUUGGUAACUUAAGUGUAAAGACAUCUAUGAAGUACUGGUGGUUCUGAUCAAUACUUCGUUGUCAGAAUAUGAUCUAGGAAAUAGUAUUGAGUUCAAGAGUACCAUUAUCAAAGAUGAUAUACCAGUUAGGAUAGCUUGAGAUCCUCAAUGAUACCUUGUAUAACCAAACCUUUCUUGGACUUUCUUUAAUGGUAGCAAUAUAACUAACAAAAUAGCUGACUAAAAGUCUUCCUAGAAUUAAGAUUUGCUUUAAACAAGCAUCAUAAAUUGACGGAACAAUUAAUUCAUCUAUGUUUCCCAUCACAUAAAAUUAUGGGGACCUGUGAGGAUGAAUACAGAGACAAAAUUUUAACUGUGUUCAUGAACUUCGGAAGGCUAAGUCGAAGGAUGAAAGGACUUAGCACUAAGAAUGACAAUGAAAACAAUAAAAUAAUAAUAAAAUUACCUGCUCCUUUUCAUUGUGCUUAUCAAAAUAUUUUUCUGCUUUCAUAAAUUUCUGGUAAUGAUCCACUGUCUUCUCCAGGCUGGAUUGAAGUAAAUGAUACAUCUGCAAUUCAACAUAUG